AUUGAACGCUGGCGGCAUGCCUUACACAUGCAAGUCGAACGGUAACGCGGGGCAACCUGGCGACGAGUGGAGAACGGGUGAGUAAUGCAUCGGAACGUGCCCAGUAGUGGGGGAUAGCCCGGCGAAAGCCGGAAUAAUACCGCAUACGACCAACGGGUGAAAGGGGGGGAUCGCAAGACCUCUCGCUAUUGGAGCGGCCGAUGUCAGAUUAGGUUGUUGGUGGGGUAAAGGCCUACCAAGCCGACGAUCUGUAGCUGGUCUGAGAGGACGACCAGCCACACUGGGACUGAGACACGGCCCAGACUCCUACGGGAGGCAGCAGUGGGGAAUUUUGGACAAUGGCGAAAGCCUGAUCCAGCCAUGCCGCGUGCGGGAAGAAGGCCUUCGGGUUGUAAACCGCUUUUGUCAGGGAAGAAAUCUUCUGGGUUAAUACCUCGGGAGGAUGACGGUACCUGAAGAAUAAGCACCGGCUAACUACGUGCCAGCCGCCGCAGUAACAC
rnacentral:rRNA from 1 species